CUACGUAGGGGGCGAGCGUUGUCCGGAAUGAUUGGGCGUAAAGGGCGCGUAGGCGGCCCGGUAAGUCUGGAGUGAAAGUCCUGUUUUUAAGAUGGGAAUUGCUUUGGAUACUGUCGGGCUUGAGUGCAGGAGAGGUAAGUGGAAUUCCCAGUGUAGCGGUGAAAUGCGUAGAGAUUGGGAGGAACACCAGUGGCGAAGGCGACUUACUGGACUGUAACUGACGCUGAGGCGCGAAAGUGUGGGGAGCAAACAGGAUUAGAUACCCUGGUAGUCCACACUGUAAACGAUGAAUGCUAGGUGUAGGGGGUAUCGACCCCUUCUGUGCCGCAGUCAACACAAUAAGCAUUCCGCCUGGGGAGUACGGCCGCAAGGCUAAAACUCAAAGGAAUUGACGGGG
rnacentral:rRNA from 1 species